rnacentral:rRNA from 1 species
CCAAUAGCGUAUAUUAAAGUUGUUGCAGUUAAAAAGCUCGUAGUUGAAUUUCGGGAUCAAUAUGCUGGUCGUGCCAUUGGUACGUACUAGUAUUAUUGGUUUCUUCCUUCUGAUGAAUCAUGAUGUCAUUAAGUUGAUGUCAUGGGGAAUCAGGACUGUUACUUUGAAAAAAUUAGAGUGUUUAAAGCAGGCUCGCGCUUGAAUACAUUAGCAUGGAAUAAUGAAAUAGGACGUUUGAUUCUAUUUUGUUGGUUUCUAGGAUUGACGUAAUGAUUAAUAGGGAUAGUUGGGGGCAAUAGUAUUCAAUUGUCAGAGGUGAAAUUCUUGGAUUUAUUGAAGACUAACUACUGCGAAAGCAUUUGCCAAGGAUGUUUUCAUUAAUCAAGAACGAAAGUUAGGGGAUCGAAGACGAUCAGAUACCGUCGUAGUCUUAACCAUAAACUAUGCCGACUAGGGAUCGGAUGAUGUUAAUUUUUUAAUGACUCAUUCGGCGCCUUACG